UCUGUUUUCGCUGAAACUGAAAAAAGAGUACGUUUUCUUCCCCCAUUCAAAUCGAAAUUUCAUUUUAUUUUAUUUUUAAUCUCUUUUCUUUUUCUCAAGUUGGUGCGGAAGGAGGAAUAUAGGCAGAUUUUCUAUUUUCUUCCUUAAAUUCUGUAGUGGGUUUGGUGGUAUCUCAAGCUAUUUCAAGAAUCCAUAGAAAAUGGUAUUUGAACGUUUUAAUACUGUUAGAGUUCUUGGUUUGAAGUUUAUGAAUUGGGUUUUUUGAAUUUGUUUGUUUGCUUUCCUUCCUCAGUAUAUGAAUGAAAUGGGUUGAUUGGGUUUUCUCCAUUGCUUAGAUUUCUAUCUUUUUUAUUGGUUUUGGUGGUUACUGGAAUUAGAAAAAAGUAUUUUGAUUGUGUACCUGAAUUCAAAUGUUUGAGUUUUGAUUUCUGUCCUUAAAAACAAAAAAACAAUCUUCAUUAGCCGGUGAUUUUUUAUUUGAAAUCUCAUCUGGGUUUUUUGAGUUUUUAAAUUUUCUGUGUUUCUUUUCUGGUUUUUGGGAGUUUUAAUUUCUCAAAGAGAAGUUUAAGAGAUAUUCGGGUGGCUUUUCAGAUGGCGUUUGGUUGAAUGGGAUUGAAAUGGAAAUUUCUAGUUUCUGUUUAGAGAGUGCAGUUUUGGUUUUGUCUGUAAAUCAUCAGAGUUUGGGGUUUCUGGGUUUUCAUUGGGGGGUUUAAUAUUUGAAGUAGCAGUUGAGAGAAAAUGCUGGGUGAUUUUUUCCAAUGGUGUUUGGUUGGGUAGGAUUUGAAGAUUCUGAUUAAAGAGAAGGCAAUUCGAUUCUAUCAUCAUUGGAAGGAGAAAAAAGAUGGGGCGUACUUUGUUCUUGCAACAAUCAAUAGGCAAUGCUUCUUGUUCUCAUGGAUUACACCCGUGCUGCGACCAUUUGAAAAGUAACUAUGGUUUUAUUCUCCAUUCGUCGAUUCGAUAUUCUUCAGUUCAUCGUGACUGUUUGAUGAAGGGCGAGCUUAAAAUUGCAUGCUGUUUACGCUGCAAUGGCAUUUUCGGUUUAAAACGAAAUGGGCUUUUGCUACGAUGUAGAGGGCAGCAGAGAAGUGUUUGCAUUGAUAGAGUUAAUGAUAUCAGCAAAGAGAACUGUGAGUUGGAAAGAACUAUAAUGGGUACGAGUAAUAGAUUGAGAGAACCUCGAUCCAAUUCUAAAAGGCCAUCGCAGUCGAGUUUGCUGUCGCUUUUGGGUUUCGAAGGGCCCUUUGUUGAAAACGAUGAGGAAUCGAACAAUGCCAUCUUACACACUUUCUGCAAGAAUGGGAAGUUGGGCGAAGCCUCUAAUUUGAUUGAUGUGAUGUCGCGGAUUGGUCAGAUUCCUGACUUCCCGUUGUGUAUAAACAUAAUCCGGGGUCUGAUUAAAGUGCAACGGAUUGAGAAGGCGCACAAGAUUUUAGACAUCAUGGUUAUGUCGGGAGGGGUCCCAGAUAACAUCACUUACAACAUGUUGGUCGGUGGUCUCUGUAAGAAAGGGCAGUUGAAGUCUGCGAUCGAACUUCUCGACAGCAUGAGCUUGAGUGGUUGCCCCCCUGAUGUGAUCACAUACAAUACCAUUCUUCGGUCUAUGUUCGAGCAAGGUCAGUUCGAUCAGGCAGUUGGGUUUUGGAAGGAUCAGUUGAGGAAAGGCUGCCCUCCGUAUCUGAUCCCUUACACCGUUCUCAUCGAGUUAGUCUGCAAGAACUGUGGAAUGGAACGGGCCAUGGAAGUCAUGAAUGAUAUGGCGAUCGAAGGCUGUUAUCCUGAUAUCGUGACCUAUAACUCCUUGGUGAACAUGGCUUGUAAAGAAGGAAAGCAUGAAGAUGCUGCAUUGGCGGUAUUCAAUCUUUUAUCACGUGGGUUUGAGCCUAAUGCUAUCACCUACAACACCCUUCUCCACUGCCUAUGCAGCAGUGGCAGUUGGACUGAAGCUGACGAGAUUCUUUCGAUCAUGAACAAGAUGUCCCAUCCUCCUACCGUCGUCACUUACAAUAUCUUGAUCAACAGUCUCUGCAAGUACGGACAUUUAGACAGGGCUAUUGAUUUCUUAGAUCGGAUGGUUUCUCAGGGCUGUUCUCCCGAUAUAAUCACAUACAAUACUCUUUUGGGUGCUCUUUGUAAGGAGAGCAUGACUGAUGAAGCGCUCGAUAUACUUCACUCUUUAGGUGAUAUUGGGUGUUUUCCUGUCCUGAUCACCUACAAUACUGUCAUUGAUGGGUUAGCAAAGAAGGGGGAUAUGGAGAAGGCAAUGGAGCUUCUGAGCGAGAUGAUCACCCAAGGGAUUAGGCCUGAUGACAUUACUUACAGUUCGUUGAUUGGCGGUUUGUGUAGGAAGGAUCUGUUGGAGGACGCUGUGGAGAUGCUGAGGGAGAUGGGCCGAAGCAAUCAUAGGACAAGACCGAGUACUUACGGUAUUGUGAUCCAGGCACUGUGCAGAAAAGAUAGGGUUGAUGCUGCCAUCCAAAUUCUUGAUAUGAUGACGUCAAGCCGAUGCAAGCCCAAUGAAAUCAUUUACAGUGCUCUGAUUAGAGGAAUAGCAUCUGCUGGGAUGGCUGGUGAAGCGAUUGAAUUGCGGAAGAUGCUGGUUGAACGGAAGGUUCUUAGAGAAGAAUCAACAGUUGAUUGAGUUGGGUAGACAUGAUGCAAACUUUAUAUUGAUUUCUAUACCAUCUGAUUAGAGAUCUGCUCGGCAUUUGGCCAGAAAAAUUUUGGCAUCAGUUGUAAUUCAACCGGCAUCUACCAAAUGGGCCCUUAAUCAACAAUCAGGCCGGACAGAUGAACGGCAAGGAUCUCCCGGACAAGUGCGUAAGGAGAUUUGAGUGCUUGAUUAAAUAACUAAAAAUAGAUUUAUGGCUGGAGAAAUUUCUUUUUUCAGAAUCUGGUAUACCAGAUUCCAAUGUUUGGUGAGGGUGUCCCCAUUUUCAACAAUGGUUGGUGUAAUAUCUACCAAACAAGCAGCAUCAGCGGCUUGAAAUUGCAACAAUGUUAGGUACGCAUCUCUGCCUAUAUAAAAUAAAGGCCUGGUUUCAGUGUAUCCAUGU